rnacentral:misc_RNA from 1 species
ACGACUCUUUCAGUGCCCAACAAUACCCAUCAUCUAUGAUGGGGGAAAAUUAAAUAAAUGAAUGCUCAAAGUAUAAUCCAAAUUGCUAUUUUUUAAAUACAUCAUUAGUUCAUAGAAGAAAAAGAAAGGAUGACAACCCACAUAAAUACAGUUAACAAAGGAAGCUGAAUAAGUAAAUUAACUAGUGAAUGGGAAGAAGCUGCUGCCCCAUAGAUCCAUCAAG